rnacentral:lncRNA from 1 species
CCAGCAGCAGCACAUGAAGGAUUAUAGGAUCCGUGUGGUCUUUUAUCAUGAAAUGAGGGAAUUCUGGGAUCUCGGAGGGAACCUGGCUGUGACAGACAUAUUGUUUAAGGAUGUUUUCUGGAUCAGAGCUCACUGUGGAUUAUCAGUUCUAGUGUUUACAGCUUGUGUGUGUGAAUGAUGACACACAGCCUCCACGAUCUACCUGCGAGUGAACACACAGACGAGGAGACGGGUGUCUCUCCCUCCGUCUGUCCGUUAUGUGGCCGUGGUUUUGACGUUGCUCUGAUUCUGCCCUGCUCUCACACUCUAUGCGGCCGCUGUCUGACUGAAGGGGCGGGGCCUGGUCAACACGGGGGUGGAGUCAGGGGCGUGGCCUUCUCCUCUCAUCCAGUCGUUCUCUGUCCGAUCUGUCGUCACGGCGUUGAACUGCCCUGCUUUGACUGGUCAUCUGCUCUCACCUGUCUGCCCUUUGACCCCACAGUGACCUUUGACCCUGAAGAGAGAGGGAAGCAUGAAGAACGGAGAUGGGAGACGGAUGGCAGUGUGGAUCUUUCUGAAGAGGAAAUGGUGUUUCAGGUGAGACCUUCAUAAAGGAAUACUAGCAUACUGCAUACUGCAUACUGCACAGUGCACACUACAGUACAUGCUGCACACUACACACUAGUAUUUUUAUUUUGGUGCCAAACUGUGGACAGUCUAAUCAAAUAUUGAGUCCGUAAGGAGAUGCAGAACAAGCACAUACUGUGCACAAAAUCAAUCUCUAGUCAUCAUACAUCAGUAACUCUCUUCUGUAGGUCUGCUCUUCACCCUCGAUUCGUCCUGCUCUGAUUCGUCACUUCACCUCUCAAGCUCCGCCCUCACCGUCACCUUCACGGGUCACAUGAUCUCAUCACAUGACCGCAGCGAUCAGGGCUCCUGUCCGCUUCCUCAGGUGUGCGGCAGCGUGGGCGUGUCCAGAGGACAGUAUUACUGGGAGGUGGACGUCUGCAACAGCGCCAUCUACAGGAUCGGAGUGAUUUCAUCAUGUGAUGGGCGUGGCUGGUGGUUGGAGAGGCGUGACUCUGCGUUUCACGCUGUGUUUGACGGACGGCGUGAGCUCCUCCCCUCUGUGCCUCCUCAGCUGAAGACAGUGGGCGUGUUUCUAAAUGUGGGCGGGGCUUCGAUCACCUUCCACAAUCCGGUAACUCAAGAGUUUCUCGCCGCCGUCCCCUCCCACUUCAGUGUCCCCCUCCGUCCUGCUCUUCAACUGGGGCAGGGAAGACUGAAGCUCCGCCCCAGUCUGCCGCCGCCCAAUCACGUCUUUCUCAGCCACAGCUCUGCCUAUCGGGGUCCAGGAGGGGUGGGAAGUGUGCGCUGGAGGCGGGAUGUACCGUUCGGGUCGGUGAGGGCCGUGAUUCAGAAGUUUGAGGAGAUGUCGACCACGUCAGACUCGGAUUCUGGUCUCGUGUCCAGCGACCAAUAACAGUACAGAACGACCAAAACCUAGAGUACUUUCUACACGGACAGCAUCGUAAGGUGUGCUCCCUAGAUAGACAGGAAUUAUGCUGCCUUCUAAGAUCUCGUCUUUUGGACAAAAUAUAAGAAGCAUCACAUAUAUAUUCUUCUUGAAAGAGUUUGCAAAAUGCAAACAGCGCCACCUGUAGGGCAGAAGCUCUUGAAGAAAAAAACAAACAAAAUGUAACUCAAUUUUUACAACAAGCUCAUUUAUUGUCUUCUUGUGGUGAAUUAAUUUUUGUCUUAUAUGUUUGUAUUCAGUGGGACUAUAUUUUCUGUAUUAUAUUUAUUUAGUGAUUGCAAGAGAUUGUGUUUCCAAAAUGAUGCUCAUUAAACAAACACCUAAUUAAAAUACUGUACAAAAACCAAAAAUACCACAACUCACACACAGGAAAUAAAUUAUUUAGACAUAUUAAUUGCAUGAUCACAGUCAAACUGCCUGUUAACAAUUUUUUAUUUUAUUUUAUUUUAUUUUAAAAGCUUAAAAAUAUUUCUGAAAUGCUGUAAGUAAUAUGUAAAUAUUAAC